rnacentral:piRNA from 2 species
GUGAGAUGCAGAACCCCCGGGAGCGC